CCUACGGGAGGCAGCAGUCGGGAAUUUUGGGCAAUGGGCGAAAGCCUGACCCAGCAACGCCGCGUGAAGGAUGAAAUCCCUCGGGAUGUAAACUUCGCAAGAACGGGAAGAAUAAGUAGGGGACAAUACCCCCUAUGAUGACGGUACCGUUUGUAAGCUCCGGCUAACUCCGUGCCAGCAGCCGCGGUAAU
rnacentral:rRNA from 2 species